ensembl:snRNA U6 U6 spliceosomal RNA
GUGCUGGCUUCAGCAGCACUUACACUACAAUUGAAGGGAGAUAGAGGUCAGCACGACACCUGCAUAAGGAUAACGCUCAUAUCCCUUAGGCAUUCCAUAAUUUU